AGGAGGGACAGUGAAAUGCACGCCGGUGACCCCGGCUGCAGUCUGACUCUUCAGCGACCCCUGGUGGUGCAGGUGCCAAAGGCUCAUUACCAGGGGAGGUGGCACCGGGGAUGGCGGCGUCUUUGGAAGGCGGGGCCGAGGAGGAGGGCUGCAGGUCACUGGGGCACACCCUGGAAGGGACAGCAGAGCUCCUGUCCCUUUCACUUCCUUGCUCUUUCGCUUCCCUGCCGUGAGGUGAGUGGCUUUGCUCCGCCUGCGCUCAGCCGUGAUGCGCCGCCCGCCCUCACCGAGGGCCCCAAAGCGGCGGGGGUGACUGAGCAUGCGCAGAAACUCCGCCACCGCGCGCCGAGAAGAGAAUUUCUCUAAGCUGAUUAUCGCAGGGUGUCACCUGAUGAGCGCCCUGCAGAUGCAGAGGAGAAAAGUGAAUUCCUCAGAGCCCCAGCUGGGCCAAGCAGCCGGGAAAAUGAAUUCCUUUCACUGCUGGUCUUGCUCAAACAAAGUUCUAAAGUAAAGGAGAACUGUUUAGAUCACUUGCUGGCACAUCGGGUUCCACUGUAGAGCCACAUCACAGUCAUGUACUGGAACGCUCACCCACUCAGGACGGCCCCCCGCUUCUCAGCGCCACAGUGCUGCCGUACGCACUCUUGCACAGAGCUCCUGCCCUUCUCUGGCGCGUCUCCUGAGAUGUGCAACUCUUUGCACUUUGGAGCUGGCCUAUCUUUAGUUUCAGUAGAUAAUUGCAAAACAGUUCUGUACCUCUGUGUUUAUACUAAUUUAUUCUCUAAGAACCAGUACACAUUCUGGUUGAUUUGUAUCUUUGCCUGUAUUUGACACAGUUAAGACUCUUAGACUCUUUAUCCAUGGGAAGGAGGGCAUAUGAAGUAUCUCUAGCUCUGGCUACAAGUUACAUUUCCCUGGAUAAUAAAGUGUCUGUCUUUUCACAUGAAAAUUGAUCAUCUGGGGUCCCCUCUGAAUGUAAAAUACCUGUUCACGUUUUUUGUCUGUUUUACUAUUGGGUCAUCUUUUUUCGAGUCAUGGGAGUGCCAUAGUGAUACUAAUUUUCUGUCGAUUUUAUUUGUCAGGAAUAUUUUUCUCCUAGUUCUUCUCACUGUGUGUUUCUUUUCCUGAUCUCUUUUCUUUUCUCUUUUGAAAUAGAAAUUUUAAA